UACGUAGGGCGCAAGCGUUAUUCGGAUUCACUGGGCGUAAAGGGUGCGCAGGCGGCCAAGUGUGUGAGGCGUGAAAGCCCGGGGCUUAACCCCGGAAUUGCACCUCAAACUACAUGGCUAGAGCAUUGGAGAGGGUAGCAGAAUUCAUGGUGUAGCAGUGAAAUGCGUAGAUAUCAUGAGGAAUACCAGAGCGAAGGCGGCUACCUGGACAAUUGC
rnacentral:rRNA from 1 species